AACGAACGCUGGCGGCAUGCCUAACACAUGCAAGUCGAACGAGAUCUUCGGGUCUAGUGGCGCACGGGUGCGUAACGCGUGGGAAUCUGCCUUUGGUUCGGAAUAACAGUUGGAAACGACUGCUAAUACCGGAUGAUGACGAAAGUCCAAAGAUUUAUCGCCAGAGGAUGAGCCCGCGUAGGAUUAGCUAGCUGGUGUGGUAAAGGCGCACCAAGGCGACGAUCCUUAGCUGGUCUGAGAGGAUGAUCAGCCACACUGGGACUGAGACACGGCCCAGACUCCUACGGGAGGCAGCAGUGGGGAAUAUUGGACAAUGGGCGAAAGCCUGAUCCAGCAAUGCCGCGUGAGUGAUGAAGGCCUUAGGGUUGUAAAGCUCUUUUACCCGGGAUGAUAAUGACAGUACCGGGAGAAUAAGCUCCGGCUAACUCCGUGCCAGCAGCCGCGGUAA
rnacentral:rRNA from 1 species